GCCACCUCAGAGCCGGCCAGGUAGAAGAUGAUCUCAUAGUUCUUCAACACAUCCACCAGGCGGCCUGGGGAGGAGGAGGAAGAGGAGGGAGAGAUGUAAAACCUCAUGUGGAUUCUGCCAUUUGAAACCUUAAAAAUGUCACUUGCUGUCCCUGGACCUCAAUUGCUUAAGUGAUAUGUGGCUUCUGAGACAGGGUUUUGCCAUGUUGCCCCGGCUGGUUUCAGACUUCUGGCCUCAGCCCCCCAAAGCGCUGGGAUUACAUGCAUGAGCCACUACACCCGACCAGGAAAAUCUCUUAAUUGCAAGUAUUUCCCCCUAAAGUGUGGUUUGUCUGUGUGCUCCACCCUCUCUCUAGGUCAUUCUCCUCACCCCAUGCACCUCCUCUGCCCAUCAGAUCCAUCCAGAUUCACACAAGAAAUGGAAGACGGUUCCUUGAGGCCUGGGCAGGCUGGUUUUGUGGCCUGCCCACACACUGGCUCAGGGACUUUGCCGUUCUCACUGGGUCAGGUGGGAUGACAGAGCUCAGUGAGGGCACUCGAUUAGCCCAGCCCUGAAGGAAGGACGAGCAGCUCACCCCAUCUCAGUGCAGCCUGCGGCCCCCGCAAGGUGUCCUCCCUGGUUACUGCACCAUCUCACAGCCCUCUAGCCUCUGGGACUCAAAGGCAGGCUCCCUUGCUGUUUCAAGAUAACUUGACAACCCAGGAAAACCCUCAUGUCCCCCACUCCCACCUUUCCAAUUUUGGUUCCUGCCUUGCUUGCAUAAGGACGCUGUUCCCCCCCAACAAGCCCUGCCCAUCCAUGCUGUGCCUUCACCUGGGGGAUAUUCCAGGAAGCCUUCCCUGACCACCCUCAUGACGAUGACUUCCUAAGGGUGACGGUGACAAGUGCCAGCAGGCCAUCUGCACAGUGAAAGACACCAGUGCUUCUCCCCAUCUGCCCGCU